rnacentral:ncRNA from 10 species
AUCGUUCAACCCUUAGGGUCGGAAGUAAGCUAGAGCUGAAGGAACGCGCA